UACGUAGGGUGCGAGCGUUAAUCGGAAUUACUGGGCGUAAAGCGUGCGCAGGCGGUUCGUUGUGUCUGAUGUGAAAGCCCCGGGCUCAACCUGGGAAUGGCAUUGGAAACUGGCGAGCUAGAGUGUGGCAGAGGGGGGUGGAAUUCCGCGUGUAGCAGUGAAAUGCGUAGAGAUGCGGAGGAACACCUGUGGCGAAGGCGGCCGACUGGGCCGACCCUGACGCUGAGGCGCGAAGGCGUGGGGAGCGAACGGG
rnacentral:rRNA from 1 species